CUGGGAUUAGAUACCCCACUAUGCUUAGCCCUAAACACAAAUAAUUGCAUAAACAAAAUUAUUCGCCAGAGUACUACCGGCAACAGCCUAAAACUCAAAGGACUUGGCGGUGCUUUAUACCCUUCUAGAGGAGCCUGUUCUAUAAUCGAUAAACCCCGAUAAACCUCACCAGUCCUUGCUAAUACAGUCUAUAUACCGCCAUCUUCAGCAAACCCUAAAAAGGAAUAAAAGUAAGCACAAUUAUAAGACAUAAAAACGUUAGGUCAAGGUGUAACCUAUGGAGUGGGAAGAAAUGGGCUACAUUUUCUACCUUAAGAAAACUUACACGAAAGUCACUAUGAAACUAGUAACCAAAGGAGGAUUUAGUAGUAAACUAAGAAUAGAGUGCUUAGUUGAAUUAGGCCAUGAAGCACGCACACACCGCCCGUCACCCUCCUCAAAUGACUAACAAUACACUUAAAUCUAUUUAAAUCUACCAACCACAUGAGAGGAGACAAGUCGUAACAAGGUAAGCAUACUG
rnacentral:rRNA from 1 species